AUCUCUUCAGAGACAUCUGAUAAAAUUGGAACAAUGCAGAGAAGAUUAGCAUGGCCCCUAAGAAAGGAUGACAUGCAAAAAUCCAGGCGUCUCACCACAUUUCU